ensembl:lncRNA
GUCCUACACUGCUAGUUUACAAUACUCCUGCUGUACUUGCAAAUAACUUUGGAUGGAAAUCUGUUAAGUUUGUGUGUGUUGUUUGAACAGUCUGGCUGAGGUGUGUAUGUCGAGUGCCCUCUGCACCUGCUUGGAAGUAGCAAAAUAAAUAAUGUAUUAUUAAACUGGUGUUAAAUCAGACUAAUUGGAAGUAUUAAGGUACAAUAGGAAACAUUAAGACUUCAAAGUCAUCCCUGACAAGCAGACAUCUUUAAAAUAUCUACACUGUAGUAUUUCCCUACCUGGAUCAGUUAUCCACAGCCUCUCCAGCAGCAUCACUUACAAAAUAUUCUCUGAAUUACUAGAAAGCAAAUUACAUCAAAGAAGUGUACAAACAAAUAAAAGAUUACAGGCUGUGUACAUGUUCAGUCUAAUGCCCUUUCAACAAGUAAUGCACCACACAAUGCCUUUCUCUCCCCAAGCUAAAUGUGGAUUUCUCCCUAAAUACUAUCCCCUGCUGGUCAGCCAUGUUCUCCUCCAGGAGCUGUGAACAGUGAAUCAGCGGCACCCAGGUAAUGACAGUGUUCCAUGCCACUGCCUUGUCUCCUUAACUGGUAUUAGUUAGGCUUUGGAGUUCAAGUGGCUACAGGUUUUAGAUGCAGAUUUUCAAAAAGGGAAGAAAGAGAGUCUGGCUGUUGUUCUUGAAAAGCUGUGUUUAUCCAGGAUUAGAGACAGCAACAUGUUAAUAAUUGUUUCUCACAGAACUCCAAAGAAGUACUUUCCUGUAAUCCCCUAAUCAGGCAUUACACCUCUGAGCGAAGCCACAACGCAGGCGCAUGCUGGCUGUGACGCAGCACACCCGCACUGUAUUUAACACCACAUCACACCCGCGCUGUAUAAAACACCACAUCACACCCGCGCUGUAUAAAACACCACAUCACACCGGGCACUGUAUAAAACACCACAUCACACCGGCACUGUAUAAAACACCACAUCACACCGGCACUCUAUAAAACACCACAUCACACCGGC